GAUGAACGCUAGCGGCAGGCUUAAUACAUGCAAGUCGAGGGGCAGCAGGAUUGUAGCAAUACAGUUGCUGGCGACCGGCAAACGGGUGCGGAACACGUACGCAACCUUCCUUUAACUGGAAGAUAGCCCACCGAAAGGUGGAUUAAUACUCCAUAAUAUAACUGAAUGACAUCAUUUAGAUAUUAAAGCUCCGGCGGUUAAAGAUGGGCGUGCGUCUGAUUAGGUAGUUGGCGGGGUAACGGCCCACCAAGCCUUCGAUCAGUAGCUGAUGUGAGAGCAUGAUCAGCCACACGGGCACUGAGACACGGGCCCGACUCCUACGGGAGGCAGCAGUAAGGAAUAUUGGUCAAUGGACGCAAGUCUGAACCAGCCAUGCCGCGUGGAGGAUGAAGGCCCUCUGGGUUGUAAACUUCUUUUCUUUGGGACGAAACCCCUGUUUCUACGGGGACUGACGGUACCAGAGGAAUAAGCACCGGCUAACUCCGUGCCAGCAGCCGCAGUAACAC
rnacentral:rRNA from 1 species